rnacentral:tRNA from 1 species
UAGCUCUGUUGGUAGAGUGCUUGCCUCGCACAUAAGAAGCCCUGGGUUCAAUCCCCAG